rnacentral:lncRNA from 1 species
UUUUUGAUAACAAUUCAUAAUUCUUUCCCUGUUUAAAUUACUGUGUAGUUUCUUUCUGCUAAGUGGACCCCAACUAAUCCAAAUUUGGUACUGGGAAUGGUCCCAAGAGAUAGACCAGAAAAGAUUGAAUUUGGGGAUUUGUUUAGUCAUGCCCUUGGGCUUGAAUGCAGUGCUGAGAUCCUUGCCAAUAGGAAGUGGGAUGCUAGUAGUUCAUGUUAAGCAAUAUCACCACAAGUAAUCAUGCUACUACCUGAAGAUGAUUGUUAAUAGAUAACAACUGGAACAACUCACUUAUGAGCCCAAGUGACUGCUGUAGUUGAAUGUUAUGAUAAUGACUAAAAGAACUAGUAUGAAAUGUAUCCGACUGACUGUCUUGAACAUUUACAGAAAGAAAAUGACAAGUUCAAAUCUUUUAUCUCUCAGCUGAAGUUAUGAUCUAAGAACCAGAGAGCUGCCUUGACAGUCAUAAAAAUAAUCUGAUAUCUUAUGGCCACAGGGCUGAUAUUCCUAGAAAGAAUAUGUAAAAUCUAAUUACAUAUAUUGCUGAAUUACAGUGUCAGUAGAAUUAAUAGUUCUACCAAGUUUCUGAGGAAAACUUAGAAAAUUGACUGGUGUCUUGGUCUAUUCAGGCUGCUACAACAAAGUGUCACAGAGUGGGUAGCUUAUAAACAACAGAAAUUUAUUUCCCACAGUUCUGGAGGCUAGAAGUCUAAGAUCAGAGUGCCAGCAUGGUUGGGUGAGGGCCAUUGAAUGCAUCACAGCCUUCUCAUAUCUUCACAUGGUGGGAGGGGGUAAGACAUUCUGCUGAUUUAUUUCAUAAAAGUGCUAAUUGCAUUUAUGAAGGCUCUAUUCUCAGGACCUAAUCACUUUUGGAGGCUUCACCUCUUGACACCAUCACAUUGGGUGUUAGGAUUCCAAUAUGUAGAUUGGGGUCUGGGGGAACACAAACAUUUAGACCAUAGCAAUUGGAAAGAAUAGGAUCUUGAAACUUGGAAUGGGAACUUUUGGUUGAACCCUGAUGUGAUUGUCACUCUGGGCUUCACUUGCUAUGAAAGUAGUUGCCCUUUUGUUUCUGAGUAGACUAGCCUUCCUUUUCUAGAAAACUUUGUGAUGCCCUCCUAUGGCACAGAUGCCUUAAAAGGGGAUGCUCAUUCUUUUUAAGACCAACCAUAGCCAUCUCUUAUUACCAUUAGACCCCAAUUAAGGGUCAAUUUUCAGCAUGCUCCAUAGAAUCAAGUAACACUAUUACCCAGGAAGAAAUAGCUUACACACCACUGAAAUGAUUGAAAGGCCUUGCUAAUAUAUAUCAGCAGAAAUCUGGGAAAUGUGGGAGUAACUCUGAAGGAAUUGGACCAAGGAAAGUGGAAUAUUACACUGGAUUUAAUGCAUUAACUCAUGGCAGCUUAACAGCUUACUUGAUUUGUUUAUGGAACUUGGACUCAACAAUAGCUUAUAUAUUUUUAUUUUUUAUUGAAGUUCAAUCUGCCAACAUAUAGUAUAACACCCAGUGCUCAUCCCGUCAAGUGCUCCCCUCAGUGCCUGUUACUCAGUCACCCCAUCCCCCUGCCCACCUCCCCUUCCCCUACCCCUUGUUCGUUACCCAGAGUUAGGGGUCUCUCAUGUUUUGUCACCCUAAUUUUUCCCACUCAUUUUCUUUCCUUUCCCCUAAAAUCCCUUUGACUAUUUUUUAUAUUCCCCAUAUGAGUGAAACUAUAUUUAAUAAGGCUGAGAUACCAGAGCUUCCCUGGCAUGAUGUAAAUAAGUGCCACCAUCAAAGACUUAAAAGAACUUGAACAUGGUACAUUUGCCAAGAUAGACAGUGUUCCAGGUCAUAAAGCAAACUCAAGAAAUAUAAAAUAAUUUAAAUAAUACAAAGUAUAUUUCUGAACACAAUGGAAUUAAACUAAGAAUAAAGAACACAAAGAAAUCUGGAAAAAACUACCAAAUAACCCAUAUUCAAGCAGAAUGUUUAAAGGGAAAUUAAAAAUAUUCUAAAUUGACUGACAAUGAAAAUAUGGGUAACAUUAGUGGAAGCAAUGAAGUAACAACUCCAAAAAUCCUCCCCUCUUUAAAAGCAAAGACAAGUGGACAAAAUUGUCAAAAUCAACUUUUUCUAGAACUCUGGAAAUUAGCCUCAUGUUUGCAGCAAUCCAUGGACCAUUUGUUUAAGAAAAAUAACUUAAGUGACUUUGUAAGCACUGUAAGCCUUGAAGUAUGUUUACUUGUCUUAUUUCCAUUUUCCUGUCUCCAGUUAAGUGAUAUCCUUGAAAACCAACAGUUUCACAGUCAUGGUGAAAAUCAGAAGCCUUGCAUCCAUGAGGAGGAGCUUGCUCAAAUCUCUAUUAUCAGAGAAUUGUCCUUAUUUGACCUACCUGACUAUUCUCUGGAAAAUUUCACACAGAGGGCUUGCUUUAUUUCACCUGAUUCAGAGCUCACCUUGGAGUGUUUGUCAUAAACAGUCAUUGGCAACUGUUGAACAUUAAGACUGCCUAGGGUGGCAGUGAUAGGGUAAACAAGAAGCUGACCAAAAACCUUUUAAAAAAAUCUAGAAAAUAAGAUAUCCACACAGAGUCUUAAAAAACUCUGACAUAGUCCCAGAAAUUUAUUAGGCAAUGCAAAUGCAUAGGGCUGUGAGCAUGUAUAGCAGAGCUGUAUGUAUGUGCAGGAUAGACCUAAUAAAGCUUUAAGCUCUCACUUAUGACUGACCUUGAGUCUAUAUAAACAGGAAGUGACAGCUAAAGCAGAGUUGUAAACUGCCUUCCUGAGAGUUGAAAGUGCCCCAAUGGGCAGUUUGGCAAAGACUAGGAGAUUUGCUGAUUCCAAGCACCUAAGAAAAUCUUUGUAAUUGUUAGCUAACCACUGAGGUAAUUGAGCAGAGCCUUCAGGGACCACACAUGAAAAAGAAUAUAUAAUUUACAGAAUGAGUUAAGGAAAGUCACUAAGUAAAUAGCAACAAUAAACAACAAUAAUAAAUAAACAGCUAUCGAUAAUAAUAAACCCUGGAGAGGGUAAGAAUCUGAUUUCCAUAGCUGUCACAUAUUAUUUAAAGUGUCUAUUUUUGACAGAAAUUUUGAGAUUCAAAGAAAUAAAGUAUGACUCAUACUGGAAGAAAGGAGCUAAUAAAAACUACUCCUGAGAAAGAUUGGACACUAGACUUACUAACAAAACAUUAAAUUAGCUAUUAUUAAAUAUGUUUAAAGAACUAAAGGAAACUAUUUCUAAAGACCUAAAGGAAGGUAAGAGAAUGAUGCUUCACCAAAUAAGGAACAUCCAUAAAGAGAUAGAAAUGAUUUAAAUGAACCAAAUAUAAAUUCAAGAGUUGAAAACGACUGAAAUGAAAAACUUACUAGAAAAGUUCAAUAGCAGAUUUGAGAUGGCAGAAGAAUUAUCUAGACAGAGGAACAGAAAGAAAACUAAGAUGAACAAAAAUAGAUCCUGAGACUUGGGAACACUAUCAAGUACACCAGCAUAUCCAUAAUGGUACCUGUAGAAGGAGAGGAAAGGGGAGAAGACGGGAAGGAAAUAGGAAAUAUACUGGAAGAAACAAUGGCUGAAAACGUCCCAAAUUUGAUGAAAAACAUUUGUUUGCACAAUAGAGAAGCUCAAGAGACUCCAAAGAGGAUAAACUAAAAAAGACCCAUACCUAAAGACAACAUAGCCAACUGUAGAAAGCCAAAGGCACAGAAUCUUAUAAGGAGCAAGAGAGAAGCAGCUCCUCAUGUGUGAGGUAUUCCUGUAAUAUUUAACAGCCUACUAAUCUUCAACAAAUCAAUAAAGAAUAUCCAAUGGAAAAGACAGUAUUUUCAACAAAUGGUGUUGAGAAAAUGGGAAGCCACAAGCAGGAGAAUGAAACUGAACCACUUUAUUACACUAUACACUGAAAUAAACUCAAAAUGGAUGAGACCUAAAUGGGAAACAGGAAUCCAUCAAAAUCCUAGAAAGCAUAGACACAGACAGCAACCUUUUUGAGCGACUUCUUGCUAGACAUGUCUUCAAAAGUAAGAGAAACAAAAGCAAAAAUGAACUACUGGGACUUCAUCAAGAUAAAAAGUUUCUGCAUAGUGAAGGAAAUUUUCAACAAAGCUAAAAGGCAACCUAUGGAAUUGGAGAAGGUAUUUGCAAAUGACAUAUAUGAUAAAGGAUUAGUAUCCAAAAUCUGUAAAGAACCUAUCAAACUUAAUACCUCCCAAAACAAAACAAAAACAGUAAAAACAAAACAAAACAGCAACAACAACAACAAAAAAACCCAGUCAAGAAAUGGGCAGAAGACAUGAACAGACAUUUCUCCAAAGAAGACAUAC